rnacentral:rRNA from 1 species
AUGGCCACCAUGGUGCAGCCGGCGAUGCCGCCUGUGCACACUGCAUUGGAGUACAGCCUGCAGAAGUACCUCCUGCUGCUGGCCACCAUGGUGAUUACCGUCACUUACGCCGCUGGCUUCAACACGCCGGGAGGAGUCUGGCAGGUCACCCAUGAAGGCAAACUUGCCGGCGACCCCAUCAUCCUCGAAACCCACUACCACCGGUACCUCUCCUUUUACUACUGUAACGCCACAGCAUUCGGCGCAUCCCUCGUGGUCAUGGUCUUCAUCGUCAUCUUAACCGUCCGGCACGACGAGGAGAAGAGGAGGGGGGAGAUGGACCCCUUCCAGUCCGUCGUGCUGCUGCGGGUCUUCAUGCUGCUAGUCGUGCUCAGCCUCAUGGGCGCCUACGGCACCGGCACAUGCCGGGACAAGAGCUCCACCGUCUACUUUGCGGUGCUGGUGGCCGCCGUCUUGCUCUACAUCCCCGUCGUCAAGUUGCUGGAUCUAGACUGUUGGGUUACAGACAAGCACGAGGACCCGGUGAUGCUCAAAGCCCAAGAACGGCUCCGCAAGCUCCUGAUGCUCCUGGCGACGUUCGCGGUGAGCAUCACCUACUGCGCCGGGCUGAACACUCCGGGUGGCUUCUGGGACAGCACUGGGGGCGGCCACCACCCCGGCGAUGUGAUUCUCAAGGACCACCACAACGCGCGCCUGACGGUAUUCUUACUCUGCAACACCACGGCGUUCGUGGCGUCCCUGCUCAUCAUUAUGCUGCUCAUCGUCAACAGCAAGAAGCUCCAUGCUCUGUCUCUCGUGCUCUAUGCGUGUAUUGUCGUCACGCUUGUCGGCCUCAUCGGCGCAUAUGUCGCUGGCAGCUGCAGGAAGACCAGUACCACCGCCCAAGUGGUCGGCCUGGCCGGCGGCGCCGUGGCAUUGGCAUACAUCCUACGCUAUACUUUACCGUCAAAAUCCUUGUCUUGUUGUUCGAGUGGAGAAACACGAUUUUUUGCAACUCACCACAGUGCUGAGGAAGAGGCUAUGGACAAUGCUCACCCUCUUGUUGUACUCCUCGCCACUCUUGCUGCCACCAUCACCUACACAGCAGGCUUGGACCCGCCGGGUGGCCUUUGGCAGGACGACGGCGACGGGCACAUGGCCGGAGAUCCCAUGCUCCUCACGACCAACGCUGGGAGGUACAGGGCCUUCUUUUACUGCAACUCCGUUGCAUUCGUGACCUCCUUGGUGGUCAUCGUCCUGGUCCAGAUGGGGAAUCUGGUUAGGCACCAUAUGCUCUUGACAGCAAUGAUACUCAACCUGUUUGGCCUUAUUGGUGCGUAUGCUGCCGGGAGCUGCCGGGACGUGAGCACCUCCAUUUACGCCAUGGCCUUGACAGGUGCCGUCCUGGUCUAUGUGGUGAUCCAUAUUGUCUUCUUCACGCUGGACCACAAGGACAAGAAAGACAAUUAUCAAGAAGAAAAGUUGCUGGAGAAGAGGCGCAAACGGUUGCUCCUCUUUGCGGUCUUGGCAGCGACCAUCACCUACCAAGCCGGCCUCACCCCUCCUGGCGGAUUCUUGCUCCAGGACAAGCUCGGGCACCACGCUGGCGACCCGGUCCUCUUGUACAACUACCCGCGCCGCUACAAUGCCUUCUUCUACUCCAACUCGGUGAGCUUCAUGCUGUCCAUCACCCUCAUCAUCCUCUUGGUGAACCCCAACCUGUAUAGGCCAGCCAUACGAAGCAAUGCGCUAUCUGUUUGUAUGGUGGUGGGCUUGUUUUGUUCUAUGGGGGCCUACGCUGCCGGAAGCACGCAACACCGCAAGACAUCCAUCUACGUCUUCAUGUUGGUGGCCAUGGUUCUCUCCUUGUUUUACUGA